GAUGAACGCUGGCGGCGUGCCUAAUACAUGCAAGUCGAGCGAACAGACGAGGAGCUUGCUCCUCUGACGUUAGCGGCGGACGGGUGAGUAACACGUGGAUAACCUACCUAUAAGACUGGGAUAACUUCGGGAAACCGGAGCUAAUACCGGAUAAUAUAUUGAACCGCAUGGUUCAAUAGUGAAAGACGGUUUUGCUGGCACUUAUAGAUGGAUCCGCGCCGCAUUAGCGAGUUGGUAAGGUAACGGCUUACCAAGGCAACGAUGCGUAGCCGACCUGAGAGGGUGAUCGCCCACACUGGAACUGAGCCACGGUCCAGACUCCUACGGGAGGCCGCAGUAGGGAAUCUUCCGCAAUGGGCGAAAGCCUGACGGAGCAACGCGGCGUGAGUGAUGAAGGUCUUCGGAUCGUAAAACUCUGUUAUUAGGGAAAAACAAAUGUGUAAGUAACUAUGCACGUCUUGACGGUACCUAAUAAGAAAGCCACGGCUAACUACGUG
rnacentral:rRNA from 1 species